CAGCAGAGCAGCGAGCAGGAGGAUCAACGCGCACACGAACCUCUCCAUGGCUACAGACCUGGACAAGAACAGUGAAGCUUCAGAGCUGAACUGGAGGCAGCAGAGGAACAUCCAGACUUUAAUCUCCAUCCUGAGGCCACUUGGAGCUUCUCACCACACGGUGGCGCUGUAUCCUCACAGUCAGUUCACCUCUGCUGCUGCUCAAACAACCAGCUCCUUUUUCUUUCUUAUCAAAGUCUGCAGAGUUUUCCUCACCAACACGUCAGCUGCAGAUAAAACAGACCGGAAAUGACGGAAGGUUCUGCUGUUAAUGAACUUUUAUCUUCUUUAAACUGAGCCAGACUUUAAUCACUGCAGGAGUUAAUUAAGGUGGAAACACAAAUCCUCCUCAGAGUGUUUUUUCAUCUGAACCUGCAAACUGACCACUAGUUUAUGUUUUUAGUGCUGCUAGCAGCUGCACAGGUUAAAACAGGUCAACAAACCGCUGCUAAAAACACCAUUUUACUUUUAUUUCACUCAUUUUUACCAUAUUUUUUUGGAAACACAUUAAAAUAUCACAAAAAAUUAAAGAUAAAUCACCAAAAUAGACUGUGACUCUGCAAAUCUGAUGUGAAAUUAUAUUUAAAAAUUGUAAUUUGUAAAUAAAAGUGAUAUCUAUUACCUAAAACCUUAUUUAAGUUUAAUAAAUAUAUUUCUAAAACUUCAUGGAAUUAUGGGCAAUUAUUGCAAAAAGAAAUGUCUGUUUGGUAAUUUUACAUAGUUUGUUUCAUGACAGAUCACUGGUAUAAUGUGAAUUUAUGGAUUUAUUUAAUUUUUCCAGUUUUUAUACAGCAGAUAUAGCACUAUUCUAAAUAAAAGGACAUUUCCUAUUUUUCACCAUUGGAGCAACACUAAAAAAUAGCAAAAAUAUUUUUUUAAAUUGUAGAUUUACCAAUAAAUGGCAGGAAAAUAUCAGAUUUUACGCUAUUAUUACCAUAAUGUCAUCAUUAAUUAUUAUUUAUUACCAUAAUAUUAUCAUUAAAGUACAGAAAAUCUCCUCUUACCUUGGGCAUACUGAUAAUUAACAGAAAAUUUCAAUUUAUUGAAUUAUUUGACAUGUUCAGAUAAUGAGCUUCAUCUGUUAUUCAAUGGAUUAAUUUAAUUAUUAUGGCAUAAAUUAUCAUAAUUCCAGUAAAUGUUUCUUUUUCUUUUUUCAGAUAUAGAAAUAUAAAACAGUUUAAAAGCUUUAAUAGCUUCAAAAUGUCUCAUCUGAUGUUUUAUUGUUUAUUAUCCAUGUUUUGACUUUUAUUAUGGACUCUGUUUUUAUUAAUAUUAUUAUUAAAAAAGGUCGACACUGUUAAUUAAUAGCGCAGGUUUUAAUAUUUUACAUAUAGCAUUUUUUAAUUCAAUUUUUUAUAAGUUUUACCAUCGUUUCUAACAUUCUAUUGCUUCUUAUCAGUGUCUUUUAUUAUGGACUCUAUUAUUAUUAAUAUUAUUUAUGAAUAGGUCCACACUGUUAAUUAACAGAACAGGCUUUAAUAUUUUAAAUCUGUCUCUCUUUUUUUUUUUUAGCUUUUUAAUAUCUUUUCUAAUGUUUUAUGGUUUCAUAUCAGUGCUGUGGCUUUUAUUAUGUCUCUGUUAUUGCUAAUAUUAUUUAUGAAAAGGUUGAUGCUGUUAAUUAUCAGUGCAGGCUUUAAUAUUAGAGAUAUAGCUUCUGUUUUUAAUUUUAAAGCUUUUUAAGCAUCUCAGGACUCCACAUAUAAAAGCUGCUAUAAAUAAUAAAGCUUAUGAUCUUUAUUGUUCCUAUUAAUAGCUACAAUCCUUAAUAUUUUAGCUAUCACAUUUUUUUAUUUUAUUUACUUAUUUUUCAGCAUUUUAAUAUCUUUUGUAACAUUUUAUUGUAUAUCAAUUUUGUGACUUUUAUUAUAAACUGUUGUUAUUAAUAUUAUUAUUAGAAAAAGUCAAGGCUUGAAUAUUUUAGAUACAGCCUUUUGUGACUUGUCUAUUUUUUAUUUAUUUUUUUUAUUUUUUUGCUUUUCCGUAUCUGUUCUAGCAUUUCUUAUCCAUAAUGUGACUUUUACUAUGGACUCUGCUAUUAUUCCUCUGUUUUUUUUUAUAGCUUUUUAAUACCUCCUCUGAUGUUUUAUUGCUCCUUCUUCAUGUUUUACUGGCGCUCUGUUUAACCGAAAGCAUCUCGUGACUCCAGUUGUAAAAGCUGCUAUAAAUAAUAAAGUUUAUGAUCUUUAUUAUUCCUGUUAAAGGCCAAAGGAAGCUCCACUCCCACAGCAGACGUGUUUUAGUGGCUGCAGGUUGCUCUGAAGCACCUGAAAGUUUCUCCCCUUUGCCUUUGUUUUGGGUCUUUUGUCUUCGUGCCGACAGACCAGAAACCUGAGGAUCAGAGCAGCGAAUUAACAAACAUGACAGACCUCCCUCUAAAUAUAAUCCAGAUAACUCUCAGAAACCUGAAACCAUGACAGGAUGAAGCUCCAGUUGGCUCCAUCUCCAACCGGAUGGAUGGGAUUCCACGAUGCUCCUCCAGCUCUGAUUGGCUGACAGAAACACACCUUUAAAGUCACACCUGAGGGACCUGAAACCAGCAAUGGAGACCGAUGCUUCCCGUGAAAUGGAUUUGGAGCUCAAAGAGGCCCGUUUGUUUUAAAUUUACAGAUUAAAUCAUCAGUUUGUUGGAAGAAAAGGGAAGAAAAAUCCUCCAGAAUUACAUCUCCCUCUAUCAGAGGUGGUCUAAAAAGUAACUAAGUAUUUAUACUGAGUUUAAGUAUCUGCAUUUUAUAUUAUUAAUACCAUUCUACCCUAUUCUAUUUCCGUGGUAUGAAACAUAAUGGAUAUAUGUUUAGUGACAUAUUGAUUGUUUUACGUGUCUUUGGAACAUUUUAGUCUCUUUGUGACAUGAAACUAUGAUACAUCCCAUAAUAUGGAUGGUUAAAAGUUGGUUAUUGGACAAAAAUGACAUUUAGAUUUUUUUGUUUUGUGCUCAUCUUUGUCAUUUUUGUCCCUCUUUUGUCACUUUGCGACAGUUUUGUGUUGUUUUGUGUGUCUUAGGGAGAGUUUUUUUUCUCCUUGUGGUCGUUUUGGUUGUUGUUUUUGUCAUUUUGCGUCUCUCUUUUCCUGUUUUGUGUCUCGUUUAUCUUAUUUAUUGACAUUUUGUGUCUUAUUUUUCCCGUUUUGUGUCCAGCUUUUGGCAUUUCACGUCUCAUUUGUCUAUUUUGGUAUCUCCUUUUUCUUGUUCAGUGUAACAUUUUGAUUGUUUUACAUGUCUUUGGGACAUUUUUGUGUCUUUAUGACAUGAAACUAUGAUACAUCCCAUAAUACUGAUACUCAAAGCUGGUUAUAGAAUAAAGAUGAGCAAAAAAUCGA